CCACACCAAAAAAACCAUCCACGUGAACGUAUUCUUUAUGAGGCUUGUGCUCUUUUAGGGCUAGCCGAAGGUUUCGCAAGGAACCGAUGAACUUUUUAAUCCCUUUAAACUAUUUUACUGAUUUAAACUAGCUCCAGAAAUGAAGCUUGUCAAUUCUAUACAACUUUCAACAGUGGAUGUCUAGGCUCGCACAUCGAUGAAGACCACAGCGAACUGUGAUACGUAAUGCGAAUUGCAGAAUUCAGUGAGUCAUCGAAACGUUGAACGCAUAUUGCACUUUCGGGUUAGUCCUGGAAGUAUGUCUGUAUCAGUGUCCGUCAAUACAAACUUGUUUUAUCUUUUGGAUAGAGCAGACUGUGAGGGUCUUGUUUUGAACAAGUCCCUUGAAAAGACAGUGCCUGUAUACAAGACCAAGUAUAUUAUAUAAAGGGCUAUGUGUGCUCUUCAUUUCAAUGUCUUAUGUGAUAUAUGGAUUGAAAGUAGACUCUAAAUGGCGGUAGUUUUGCUUGUGUUUCGGCACGGGUGAACAAAUAUUGCUUUUUAGGUCGACUGGCAAGACGUAUGUUGUGUGGGAUAAUAUUUAAAAGAGCAUGUAGUUUGGUAAACUUGGCAGUAUAUGGAAGCAAAUUGGGAAACCAUCUCCAAUUUGGACCUGAUAUCAGACAAGACUACCCGCUGAAUUUAAG
rnacentral:rRNA from 1 species